rnacentral:rRNA from 1 species
AGAGUUUGAUCCUGGCUCAGAGCGAACGCUGGCGGCGUACCUAACACAUGCAAGUCGAACGGGGAUCACAGGGUUAGCAAUAACUCCGUGGUUCUAGUGGCGCACGGGUGAGUAACACGUGGGUAACCUGCCCUUGAGACUGGGAUACCCCCUCGAAAGGGGGGCUAAUACCGGAUACGUUCCUCGGAUCGAAAGGUCUGAGGAGGAAAGGUGGCGAAAGCUGCCGCUCUUGGAGGGGCUCGCGGCCUAUCAGCUAGUUGGCGGGGUAACGGCCCACCAAGGCUAUGACGGGUAGCUGGUCUGAGAGGACGACCAGCCACACGGGGACUGAGACACGGCCCCGACUCCUACGGGAGGCAGCAGUGGGGAAUUUUCCGCAAUGGGCGAAAGCCUGACGGAGUGACGCCGCGUGUGGGGCGAAGGCCUUCGGGUCGUAAACCACUGUCAGUGGGAAAGAUGGGUGUCGGCGUGAUAACCGCCGGCAUUUGACUGUACCUGCAGAGGAAGCCCCGGCUAACUCUGUGCCAGCAGCCGCGGUAAGACAGAGGGGGCAAGCGUUGCUCGGAAUUACUGGGCGUAAAGGGCGCGUAGGCGGGAUGGCAAGUCGGUCGUGAAAUCCCUCGGCUCAACUGAGGAUCGUCGAUCGAUACUGCCGUUCUUGAGGAUUGCAGAGGAGACUGGAAUUCCCGGUGUAGCGGUGAAAUGUGUAGAGAUCGGGAGGAACACCGGUGGCGAAGGCGGGUCUCUGGGCAAUUCCUGACGCUGAGGCGCGAAAGCGUGGGGAGCAAACGGGAUUAGAUACCCCGGUAGUCCACGCUGUAAACGAUGACGACUAGGUGUGGGGGGGUUCAGUCCCUUCCGUGCCGCA